rnacentral:rRNA from 1 species
ACACGUAGGGGCCUGACGUUGUUCGGAAUCAUUGGGCGUAAAGGGCGCGCAGGUGGCCGUCCAAGUCCGGUGUUAAAUGGUCGGGCUCAACCCGAUCAUGCGCUGGAAACUGGGCGGCUUGAGUCCCGUAGGGGAUGCCGGAAUUCCAGGUGUAGGGGUGAAAUCUGUAGAUAUCUGGAAGAACACCGAUGGCGAAGGCAGGCAUCUGGCCGGAGACUGACGCUGAGGCGCGAAGGCGCGGGGAGCGAACAGGUUUAGAUACCCUGGUAGUCCGCGCAGUAAACGAUGCGCACCAGGUGUCGGGCGGCAGCGCCCGGUACCGGAGCUAACGCGAUGAGUGCGCCGCCUGGGGAGUAUGCCCGCAAGAUUGAAACUCAAAUGAAUUGGCGGGG